rnacentral:antisense_RNA from 1 species
UUUGACGGACCCGAGCCACAGCGGGGUGUCGUCGGGGCGGUCCUGGCCGUAGGUGGCCAUCAGGGCCUGGGCUUC